AAACUUGAUGAUGACGAACUCGUGUCCUACAUUCUGACAGGUCUUGACAUUGAAUACAAUCCUGUUGUUUCCGCCGUUGCAGCUCGUGUCGAGGCCAUUACUGUGCAGGAGCUAUACACACAGCUCGUGAGUUUCGAGC